rnacentral:tRNA from 1 species
GUGGUGGAAUAGGUAGACACGCCAUCUUGAGGGGGUGGUGCGCGUAAGCGCGUCGGAGUUCAAAUCUCCGCCUCGGCACCA